rnacentral:misc_RNA from 1 species
GUAGGUGAACCUGCGGAAGGAUCAUUACCGAGUAAGGGUCUUCCAGGCCCGACCUCCAACCCUUUGUUUAACCAACCACGUUGCUUUGGCGGGCCCGCCCUCUGGGGCCGCCGGGGGCUUUACCGCCCCUGGCCCGUGCCCGUCGGUAGCCAUCUUAAAUUCUGAUAACUGUGCUGUCUGAGUAUAGAUAUAAAUCGUUAAAAACUUUCAACAACGGAUCUCUUGGUUCUG